AGUGAACGCUGGCGGUAGGCCUAACACAUGCAAGUCGAACGGCAGCACAGUAAGAGCUUGCUCUUACGGGUGGCGAGUGGCGGACGGGUGAGGAAUACAUCGGAAUCUACUUUUUCGUGGGGGAUAACGUAGGGAAACUUACGCUAAUACCGCAUACGACCUACGGGUGAAAGCAGGGGAUCUUCGGACCUUGCGCGAUUGAAUGAGCCGAUGUCGGAUUAGCUAGUUGGCGGGGUAAAGGCCCACCAAGGCGACGAUCCGUAGCUGGUCUGAGAGGAUGAUCAGCCACACUGGAACUGAGACACGGUCCAGACUCCUACGGGAGGCAGCAGUGGGGAAUAUUGGACAAUGGGCGCAAGCCUGAUCCAGCCAUACUGCGUGGGUGAAGAAGGCCUUCGGGUUCUAAAGCCCUUUUGUUGGGAAAGAAAAGCAGCAGGUUAAUACCCCGCUGUUCUGACGGUACCCAAAGAAUAAGCACCGGCUAACUUCGUG
rnacentral:rRNA from 1 species